rnacentral:piRNA from 1 species
UACUUAGUGUUUGGAGCUGAGCCAGGUC